GGAACGAACGCUGGCGGCAUGCCUAAUACAUGCAAGUCGAACGAGAUCUUCGGAUCUAGUGGCGCACGGGUGCGUAACGCGUGGGAAUCUACCCUUGGGUUCGGAAUAACAGUUGGAAACGACUGCUAAUACCGGAUGAUGGCGAAAGUCCAAAGAUUUAUCGCCCAAGGAUGAGCCCGCGUAGGAUUAGCUAGUUGGUGAGGUAAAGGCUCACCAAGGCUACGAUCCUUAGCUGGUCUGAGAGGAUGAUCAGCCACACUGGGACUGAGACACGGCCCAGACUCCUACGGGAGGCAGCAGUAGGGAAUAGUUGGACAAGUGGGGGCAACCCGUGAUCCAGCAAUGCCGACGUGAGUGAUGAAGGCCUUAGGUUGUAAGCUUCUUUACCGAGAUGAUAA
rnacentral:rRNA from 1 species